AUGAGUCAAGGAACAGGGCUGUCUCCAGAAGCCAGAACAAAUAAAUGGAUUUUCCUUUUGACCUACAGAAGGGAUAUAGUCCUGUCCACACCUUGAUUUUAGGCUAAUGAGACUGAUGACUCACAGAACUAUAAGAUUUUACAGCAUAGUGAGGGAUACUGACAAGAAAACUCAUGUAUCUAUCAAAAUAUGUUCCAAGAAGAUGAUGGGAGCUCAAAAUAGACACAUGACAGGAUGAUACUUCUGUGGUUUUGUUUUUCAAGUGAUAUAUGACCAUAAUAUUUGUGAUUAAAAGUGAACUCGUGGAGGUCACCUCUGAAUGAGAAAUAUAAGAUCUAGUGUAUUAUUUAUGAUGUUUUUCUUCCCUCUUUUGAGUGUGUCAUUAUUAGCUCUGUCAACCUACAUCCUUGAGGUCAAGAAAUUCUCCACUGUUAGGUUCUCUGGGCUUUCACCUGUCUCCUCCUUGAGCCUAGACAUGGCCCACAGAGUUCACUACUUUCCUUCUCUGCCUGAAUAAUGGGGCAACUUCUGAAAAGAAUUAGAAAAUAAGAAGGAAAGAUGUCCAGCUCUGCCUACAACCCAACAUCCCUUGCAUCUCACAAAAGGAUAUACUUAAAACCCAAGGCAUUCAGAAGAAGAAAAUCUCCAGUGGAUGCCCCUUUACUCUUUACUUUGCUCCCUGACCUUCAGGAUUAUGCAAGCUCCCUUCUUCAGGUUACUCUGUUAAAAAAAAAAAAAAUAA